rnacentral:rRNA from 1 species
UACGUAGGGGGCAAGCGUUGUCCGGAAUCAUUGGGCGUAAAGAGCGUGUAGGCGGCUUGGUAAGUCCGCUGUGAAAGUCCAGGGCUCAACCCUGGAAUGCCGGUGGAAACUGUAAGGCUCGAGUCCGGAAGAGGCGAGUGGAAUUCCCGGUGUAGCGGUGAAAUGCGCAGAUAUCAGGAGGAACACCAAUGGCGAAGGCAGCUCGCUGGGACGGUACUGACGCUGAGACGCGAAAGCGUGGGGAGCAAACAGG